rnacentral:rRNA from 1 species
CAAUAGCGUAUAUUAAAGUUGUUGCUGUUAAAAAGCUCGUAGUUGGAUUUCUGCCGAGGACGACCGGUCCGCCCUCUGGGUGAGUAUCUGGCUCGGCCUGGGCAUCUUCUUGGAGAACGUAGCUGCACUUGACUGUGUGGUGCGGUAUCCAGGACUUUUACUUUGAGGAAAUUAGAGUGUUUCAAGCAGGCUUACGCCUUGAAUACAUUAGCAUGGAAUAAUAAGAUAGGACCUCGGUUCUAUUUUGUUGGUUUCUAGAGCUGAGGUAAUGAUUAAUAGGGAUAGUUGGGGGCAUUCGUAUUUAACUGUCAGAGGUGAAAUUCUUGCAUUUGUUAAAGAUGGACUACUGCGAAAGCAUUUGCCAAGGAUGUUUUCAUUG